rnacentral:rRNA from 1 species
UACGGAGGGUGCAAGCGUUAUCCGGAUUCACUGGGUUUAAAGGGUGCGUAGGUGGGAAUGUAAGUCAGUGGUGAAAUCUCCGUGCUUAACAUGGAAACUGCCAUUGAUACUAUGUUUCUUGAAUUUUCUGGAGGUAAGCGGAAUAUGUCAUGUAGCGGUGAAAUGCUUAGAUAUGACAUAGAACACCGAUAGCGAAGGCAGCUUGCUACACAAUUAUUGACACUGAGGCUCGAAAGCGUGGGGAUCAAACAGG